AAUGACAUACUUUGCAAAGCAGAUUAGAGUCCCACGAAAAAACAUUUUCAACGCUACUCUGUGGCCAGUUCUCCAGUAUCUGCCUCCUCCUCCCCUCAGGAGAGCCUGCAAAUCCAGAAGUCCACGGGGAGCUGCGGCAACUCUCUCAUGAAGGAGCUUCUACCGCUUAGAGUGCGCACUACUCAGGCUGGGAUUAGAGAAAAACAACCAUCAUUUCCAGAAAAACAGGAUAAAAACCAGGCCAGUGAUGCUGUAUUAGCAGCCCCUGGAGCAUCAAUUCCCACGGGAGACAGCUCUCCCUGACUGCGGACGCCAGCAGCCAUCUCAGGGGUGAAGGGCGAAGUCUUCCCUCCUCUACUCUGGAUGGAUCUGGGAAGGGAUGGUGCUUAAGCCUCGGGACACAGCAAUGCCGUCUUGGUGGUGUGUCUUGACUCGAAGGAUCCAGACUGCAGAACUGGGAGGUACCCAGGGGAACUGACCCUCAACAGGUCAGGACCGCAGGUGGCUGACACAGCAGGAUAUGACAGGAGCAGCUCCAGGAGCUCGUGAGCAGAGAAGUGGCCAUGAUCCCGUCAGCGCUACGACAGAGGAAGGCCCAGGUACUCAUGUGAAACCCCAGCUCCCAGUGUUUCCCCGUCCUCUGGGCCACAGUGCUCAGACCUAAGGCGGGGGACCACAAUAAUCAGGAGUGAGGAGUAUGAGGGGUGGGCUGUGGCCUUGUUUUCAGUGAGGAGAUUUUCUCCUGAUGUUCAGGAGAAAGUGCUGAUUCCUUGGUUCUAACAUUGAGAGCUCAGCAAAGCACCUGGGAAGCAGGAGAGGAAGGUCAAGGCCAGAACGGCAUGCUCAGUGUGCAGGCAGGCUCAUAUGUUUCUGCGUCCAGACUGAGACAGCUAACUAAUAUGCAGUUAACAGAAAAGAAACAGUAACACAAUUUUCUCCCCUGCCCUUGGUGUGCACAAGCGUGUGGAGGCCGGAGGUUGACACUGAGUAUCUUCUUCAAUGGUUUUCUACCUUACUGUGCUUGAGACAGGGCAUCUCACUGAACCUAGAUCUCUACAGCUCGCUAGCUAGUAACCCCAGGGUUCUCGACUAUGUCCCCCAGAGCUGGGAUUACAGGCACAAGCCACCACGCCCAGCUUUUAGGAGGGUGCUGGGGACUGGAAACAGUUUCCACGCUUAUGUGGCAAGGGCUUUACUCACUGAACCGUCUCCCCAGCCCCGGUUAUCAGGUUAUCAUUCUCUGUCUUAGGCAAGAAAAGUGUGGUCUUCUUUUUAUG